UUUGGAUCAAUGAUGUUUUCUAAUACUGCGUUAUCUAUCUGUAAUUCUUCUCUGAAGAUAACUACUUAACCUGAGAUCCAAU